rnacentral:rRNA from 1 species
GAUGAACGCUGGCGGCGUGCCUAACACAUGCAAGUCGAACGAACGGACGAGUAGCUUGUUUCUCUGAUGUUAGCGGCUUGCGGGUGAGUAACACGUGGAUAACUUACCUAUAAGUCUGGGAUCACUUCGGGAAAGCGGAGCUAAUACCGGAGGAUAUAUUGAACCGUAUGGUUCAAAAGUGAAAGACGGUCUUGCUGUCACUUAUAGAUGGAUACGCGCUGCAUUAGCUAGUUGGUAAGGUAACGGCUUACCAAGGCAACGAUGCAUAGCCGACAUGACAGGGUGAUCGGCCACCCGAGAAGUGAGACAGGGCCCAGACUCCUACGGGAGGCCGCAGUAGGGAAUCUUCCGCAAUGGGCGAGAGCCUGACGGAGCAACACCGCGUGAGUGAUGAAGGUGUGCGGAUCGUAAAGCUCUGUUGUUAGGGAAGAACAUAUGUGUAAGUAACUGUGCACAUCUUGACGGUACCUGAUCAGGAAGCCACGGCUAACUACGUG